rnacentral:lncRNA from 1 species
UAAGUAUUGUUCCUAGGUGUGUCUGUGAGGCACCAAAGGAGAUUAACAUUCGAGUCAGUGGACUGGGAGAGGCAGACCCACCCUCAAUCUGGGUGGGCACCAUCUAAUCAGCUGCCAGUGCAGCUAGAAUAAAGCAGCAGGAGAAGGUGGAAGAGCAGACUUGCUGAGUCUUCCGGCCUUUAUCUUUCUCCAGUGCUGGAUGCUUCCUGCCCUCAAACAUCAGACUCCAAGUUCUUCAGCUUUUGGACUCUGGAUCUUACACCAGUGGUUUGCCAGAGGCUCUUGGGCCUUUGGCCACAGACUGGAGGCUGCACUGUCAGCUUCCCUACUUUUGAGGUUUCGGGACUCGGACUGAUCCACCACUGGCUUCCUGGCUCCUCAGCUUGCAGACAGCUAUCGUGGGACUUUACCUUGUGAUCGUGUGAGUCAAUUCUCCUUAGUAAACUCCCUUUCAAAUAUACAUCUAUCCUAUUAGUUCUGUACCUGAAGAGAACUCUGACUAAUACACCUUGAUCUUGAAGGAAGCAGAAUUUUCUUUGAGUUGAGUGACUGUAGCCCCCAAAGUUCCUAGGAGAGUUUUGUGCAAGAAGUCAUGAGGGCCUGGACAAAACCUCACAGCCUCUGGCUAGAAUUCUGCAUUUAGGGACGGAGGCCUGAUUCUCCCACUGGGAAGAAAGGUGCUGAAGCUCUACCCUAGCCACGUUGUGAAGGCAGCGUCUGCCCUUCUUAACAAGACGUUUCCUACUAACUGCAACAUGCAGGCACUGGCCAGAACCUUCCCUUCAAUGUUGAAGAGAAGUGAUGAUGGUGGUCACCCUUUUUUCCCUCCUGAUUUCAGGGAGAAGUUCUCUCCUUGGCGCUGUUUCCCAUCCACCAGCUCAAGAUCAUUCCAGUGUAUCUGAUGAGAUCUCAGACUUCAGAAAAGCGAUUCUUGGAAUGCCAUCUGGCUAACCAUUAGAUAUGUCCAGACAGACACUUUGCGGAUUGUCUUCAGGAAGGAAGAAAAAUAGAAGGGAGUCUCAGAACUAUUUAUACAAUUAUCCUGCAGGCUUUGGCCUGGAAAACAAGAAACUAGGUGUUCUUUCACCUGCAGCAACAUCGAAGUCACUACAAAUGGCCAUAGGACAGUUAUACAGUAGUCCACACUUAUCUGUGGUUUCACUUUCUGAGGUUGCCGUUAUCCCCAGUCAACCGCAAUCUGAAAAUAUUACAUGGAAGGAUCCGGAGACAAACACUUCAUGAGUUUUAAAUUGUGCACCAUUCUGAGUAGGAUGAUGAAAUCUCAUCCUACUUCGUCCCGCCCAGGAUGUGAUGUGAAUUGCUUCUGCCAGUGUAUCUGCACUAUCUUCGCUACCUGCCGGUUAGCUGGCUAGUCAUCAACACCACUGUCUGUUCCUGCCUGGAUGUCAUGACUGGACACCACCUAUAUUGUCAUGGCUGCAUGAUCCAGGAUCACCCAAUGCAGACGAUCCUCCUGAAGUGUCAUCGGCAGGUCAAUGGUAGCCUAACCCUAGGUCACAAAGCCUGUGCCAUUC